rnacentral:rRNA from 1 species
UGGGGAAUUUUGGACAAUGGACGAAAGCCUGAUCCAGCAAUGCCGCGUGUGUGAAGAAGGCCUUCGGGUUGUAAAGCACUUUUGUCCGGAAAGAAAUCCUUGGCUCUAAUACAGUCGGGGGGAUGACGGUACCGGAAGAAUAAGCACCGGCUAACUACGUGCCAGCAGCCGCGGUAAUACGUAGGGUGCAAGCGUUAAUCGGAAUUACUGGGCGUAAAGCGUGCGCAGGCGGUUUGCUAAGACCGAUGUGAAAUCCCCGGGCUCAACCUGGGAACUGCAUUGGUGACUGGCAGGCUAGAGUAUGGCAGAGGGGGGUAGAAUUCCACGUGUAGCAGUGAAAUGCGUAGAGAUGUGGAGGAAUACCGAUGGCGAAGGCAGCCCCUGGGCAAGUACUGACGCUCAUGCACGAAAGCGUGGGGGAGCAAAACAGGAUUA